GCUAACAUCGAUAUCAUCGAUGUUUACGAAACAUCGAUAACAUCGCUGCAUAACUGGGCAACAUCGAUGUUUUUCCAUCUCAAAUUGAUUACUGAGGAAUAUAGGCAAACAAAUUGUAAACAUACAAACAGUAUAUCCGCGCCAAUGCGAACCAAUGCAAGCGAGCCAAUUAGAAAGGAAUUUCUGCCUCAGGAAAUUUUAAAACCUGUGGUGGUGGAGGAAGCGAAUUGCCUCGGAUUUAGGAGCUGGAGGAGCCCACGCCAGACCAGGCCAGGAUGUUUUAAUAAACACUUCGAGGUAUGCCGAUUGCAUCCGAAAACAAUGGAAUACAAUUGGUGUCCUCAGAUCCAAACAAGUCCCUACAUUGGCACUCACAUGCUAGGAUGACCAGGUGUGGUGGGCGUAUGAAGUAUGAAGGCCAUUGGCCAGAUGUUAUAGUUGAGGGACGAAUGCCGGGUAUCGAGGAGGACCUGCAUGUCAAAUUUUCAGCAAUCAUCGCUUGCAUGUUUCACUCGUAAAGAAGAACGAAGUGGAAAAUCCUUUUUCGAAGUAUAUUAGUCAAAUUUGUAUUGCCAAUUGGUUAUAAUCAUAACAUAUUCAUAAAGGAAACUGUUAUUAUA